AACUAAACAAAAUAGGAAAUUAGGUUCCUGCCUUCUACAGUUCUACGUUCUACUCCUCCUCCGCAGACCGCAGCGACAACCGGCAGCAGCUCCGCCGUCGGCAAGCAGGCCCUCUGUAUCUCCGUGAUUCUUUCGGCAGCACGCAGCAGGCAGAAGCUCGCGAGCUGGGUUGACAGUUCACUGGGAAUUGUUGAUUGAGGCAGAAUGGUGGCUCCAUCAUCUGACUCUACAUCACUGAAUGAGUAUCUGACAAAAUAUGAAAGUGGCUAUGAAGAGGAUGAAAAAGAAAGCUAAAACUGAUGUCUCAGGUGUCAUUAUUGUUGAUGAGGAUCCUGUCUGGCAAAAACCAGUGAAAAUUGACGAGGAAGGGGAUGAUGAUAUGUCACCACCACGGUGUAGACAAAAGCACUGCAACUCUCCUCCACAUGACGUGGAUCUACAAGCCUCUCCAAGGAAGUCACGAUAUCGGUCGCCUGUUAUAGAACAGAGGCAAAAGACUGGUUUGGUUACUGGCAAGGAUGUCAAGGAUGAAAUUGCUAAAACAAAGAAAGACGAGUGGUUGAGGUUUAAAGAGCUGGAUGCUGUAGUUAGUGGCCGAGGUGCUGAACCAGUAUAUCGUGAUAAAGUAACAGGGGAACGGCUGUCAAAGGAAGAGUACUUGCAGUCUCAGAAAAAGAAAGAGAAGGAGAAGCCUAAGGAAAUAAAGCUGGAAUGGGGUAAAGGUUUGGCUCAAAAACGUGAGAUGGAGGCUAGGCUUAAAGAACUGGAAAGUGAGAAGGAGAAACCAUUUGCACGGAGCAGAAAAAGAGAGCGGAGCAGGUUUUGCCUGACAUCGGUGCAGAUGACAAAAUGAAAGAAUCUGGUUUCAUAAUUCCCCAAGAAAUACCCCCUCACAGCUGGAUACGUAGAGGCUUGGAUGCAGCACCCAAUCGCUGUGGUAUCAAACCAGGACGGCACUGGGAUGGGGUUGACCGCAGUAAUGGUUAUGAGAAACAAAUGUUUAACCGUAUGAAUGAGAAGCAGGCGACCGAAAGAGAGGCAUAUCUUUGGUCUGUUGCUGACAUGUGAGGCAUCACUGUUACGCAAUGUACAGUCAUUUUUCAGGGCAACGGAUUGCACAACUGAUUUACUCAUUUAGUUCUACCUGUGUAUUAACAGUGUAUGAUGGUUAUAUACUUAUUAUUGAACAUUUGGCUUAAACAAA